CUCCGGAACUUUCCCGCUUCAGCGGCGGCGUCUGGGCGGGCUCCGGGGGGUCCGGGCCAGGUCUCUGGAGAGCUGGGUGUCUGCGCGCCGUGCGCACCGGGCAUGGAGAGGUGCCCCGCGGGGAUGACGGGCUUCGAUUCGGGGUAACGGGCGCGCAGCCGGCGACAGUCGGCCCUGCCCGGCCUUGCCCAUCCAUGUGGCCCGGAACCCGCAGCCGCGUUCUGCCCGCCGGGGCCUGUCCCCGCACCGUGCCUGCAGCAUUUCAGCUGCGUCCCGGACGUUGCUAGUUGGUCCUUUUCGUGUCAGGGUGUCAUUCGAGUGAUCUAGCCGUCGAUGCCCGCCUCUGCCCUGGAGCCGCCGCCCCUCGAGCAGCAUUGAGUGACGCGGCCCUUACUGCCCGCCCGAGGCCUCUUUAGGGACAGUGGUUCUGACAGUUCUAGGACAGGCCGCCCGCGUUUGUCACGAUCUAAGGGCCGGGCGCGGUGCUCACGCUUGUAAUCCCAGCACUUUGGGAGGCCAAGGCCCAUCAGUUACAAGUCCUGUCCCUUCUGACCUCCAGGCCCCACGGCUAGCAUUACAGCCUGGAGUCAAAGUUCUGGGUGAGCUGUGUAUCUUUGGCCAAAUUCUUUGACCUCGUUGAGCCUCAGUUCCCUCAUCUGUAAGGUAAGAUGACGGCAGAACGUCACGGAGGAGCAGGGCAGGGCCCCGUUAACAGGCUGAGCCGGGCGCAGGUGAGCAGACAGCACUCGGCACAGGGCCUGUCUAGAGCCUGCAGUCACACCUCCUGCCCCUGUGGAUCCUCUCCCUGGAGAACGAGAAUACGGAUCUGGGAAAUGAGACCAAAGUACCCCCCAGGCCAGCAGGUGUGGCCAGAGGAGCUGAUGGGCAGUAGUCUGUGCCGUCCGCAUGCAGCCCUGACCAUGGUGGCCAGGACCACGAAGCUGGUAGAGGCAGCCAGGGCUGCGUGGACAGAGCAGGCCUGGAGCCCUUGCCUGGUGGGCACCUGACUCUAAGCCAGGAGGCCUUUCCUCGUCCUGGAAGGCAGGUGGCCCCUCAAGCCCAGCUUCAACCUUGGGAGAACAUGCCAUGCUGGGUGAAUCCUCAGCGCACAUCCCAGACAGAAGACUGUGAGACCUCCUUUAUUAGGCCAAGAGUGGCCAUGUGCACAGAUUUACAGAGCUGCUCCUCCCUGUGCCAGGACCGCCCAGCAUCUUCAGGAGCCUCUGGGCCAGGGGCGAGUGAGGACAGCACCAGAAUGUGGUAGGGCCAGGAGAGGCAGGACACAUGUGGUUUGGACCCCAGGGAAAGGGAAAGGGCAAGGGCAGGGAGCAGCUUGGCACGGACCUUUUUUUUUUUCGAGACAGAGUCUCGCUCUGUCGCCCAGGCUGGAGUGCAGUGGUGCAAUCUCGGCUCACUGCAACCUACACCUCCCGGGUUCAAGCGAUUCUCCUGCCUCAGCCUCCCCUGUAGCUGGGAUUACAGGUUCCUGCCACUAUACCUGGCUAAUUUUUGCAUUUUCAGUAGAGACAACAUUUCAUCAUGUUGGCCAGGCUGGUCUCAAACUCCUGACCUCAGGUGAUCCUCCCUCCUCGGCCUCCCAAAGUGCUGGAAUUACAGGCCUGAACCACCACGCCUGGCCAGACCUUUCAAACAGGUGGGGGUGCCUCCCAGGAGGACCCUGCCUACUCAGAGACUUCCCAGAUGCCUCUGCUGCCUGAGUCCCCACAAAGGGAGAGCAGAGGCAAGCAGGGCACUCUGGUCCAGCUGGGAGCCAAGAUACCCUGUCCCCACCUAGACGUCCACUGGGGAAGGGAAACUGCCGUUCGCAUUCCUGGGGACGGAGAAGAGCAUGGGAACAUGGGAUGCAGUCUGUGCCAGGAUCUAGAACCUUCUGCUUUCUCUCUUCAGUGAGAAAACCCACCCUGUUCCCUCCCCUUCCUCCCUGGCAAGGAAUCCUGAGAAGAAACAGCCUCCCCCAGGGAGGGUUUUGAAGUGCGCCUGAACCCAAAUGAGCUCUGGGGCCAGGAAACAGUGUAUAUAAAUAUAUAGACUGUGUGUAUAUAUUA